GGCUAAUCUGCCCUUAGGACGAGAACAACCCCGGGAAACUGGGGCUAACUCUCGAUAGGCGAAGAACUCUGGAAUGAGUCUUUACCUAAAUAGUGCAACGUUAUCCUCGUUGCAUCGCCUAAGGAUGAGGCCGCGACCGAUCAGGUUGUUGGCGAGGUAAUGGCUCACCAAGCCUUUUACCGGUGCGGGCCGUGGGAGCGGGAGCCCGGAGAUGGGCACUGAGACAAGGGCCCAGGCCCUACGGGGCGCAGCAGUCGCGAAAACUUUGCAAUAAGCGAAAGCUUGACAGGGCUAUCCCGAGUGCCAUCCGCUGAGGAAGGCUUUUACCCAGUCUAGAACGCUGGGGGAAUAAGGAGAGGGCAAGUCUGGUGUCAGCCGCCGCGGUAAUACCAGCUCUCCGAGUGGUGUGGAUGUUUAUUGGGCCUAAAGCAUCCGUAGCUGGCUAGGUCAGUCCCUUGUUAAAUCCACCGAAUUAAUCGUUGGAUUGCGGGGGAUACUGCUUGGCUAGGGGACGAGAGAGGCAGACGGUAUUUUCGGGGUAGGGGUGAAAUCCUAUAAUCCCGGGAAGACCACCAGUGGCGAAGGCUGUCUGCUAGAACGCGCCCGACGGUGAGGGAUGAAAGCUGGGGGAGCGAACCGGAUUAGAUACCCGGGUAGUCCCAGCUGUAAACGAUGCAGACUAGGUGUUUGGACGGCCACGUGCCGUUCUAGUGCCGCAGGGAAGCUGUUAAGUCUGCCGCCUGGGGAGUACGAUCGCAAGAUUGAAACUUAA
rnacentral:rRNA from 1 species